rnacentral:lncRNA from 1 species
UGCAAAGCCAGCUAUGCACUCCACAACUGGGAAUUAUUUGAAUCUCGCUGUAUGCCUAUUGCUGCAUAGUGAAUACCUCGCAAUCAUUAUUGAAACAUUGCUCUCUCUUUGUUACAUUCUGAAAAUUCCAAUCUCUCACUCAUUAGUUCGCUGUUGUUGAGAUCUGUAUCAUACCAUGCCUGAAGCACUUGUGGUUGGAGCUUUAGUUUCUGGCUUGGCCAACGUUGUUCUUGACCGGCUCAUUUCAUCUGAGUUUGUCAACUUGGUGGUGGGCAAGAAGCUGGAUCGGAAGUUGGUUGACAGGCUGAAGACUGCUAUCUUGGCUGCCAAAGCUCUGGCUGCUAAUGCUGAGCAGAAGCAGUUUGGAAACGAACUCAUCAGGGAGUGGCUUGAUAGUUGAUGAGCGGAUAAUUUAUACGCUUUUUGACAUUGUUUUUAGUAUAUUUGGUUUAGUUUUUAGUAUAUUUUUAUUAGUUUUUAGUUAAAAUUCACUUUUUCUGGACUUUAUUAUGAGUUUGUGUGUUUUUCUGUGAUUUCAGGUAUUUUCUGGCUGAAAUUGAGGGACCUGAGCAAAAAUCUGAUUCAGAGACUGAAAAGGACUGCAGAUGCUGUUGGAUUCUGACCUCCCUGCACUCGAAGUGGAUUUUCUGGAGCUACAGAAGCCCAAUUGGCGCGCUCUCAACGGCGUUGGAAAGUAGACAUCCUGGGCUUUCCAGCAAUAUAUGAUAGCCCAUACUUUGCCCAAGAUUUGAUGGCCCAAACCGGCGUUCAAAGUCACCCUCAGAAUUUCCAGCGUUAAACGCCGGAACUGGCACAAGAAUGGGAGUUAAACGCCCAAACUGGCACCAAAGCUGGCGUUUAACUCCAAGGGAAGUCUCUACACGAAAAUGCUUCAAUGCUCAGCCCAAGCACACACCAAGUGGGCUCGGAAGUGGAUAUUUACGUCAUUUACUCAUUUUUGUAAACCCUAAGCUACUAGUUCUCUAUAAAUAGGACCUUUUGCUAUUGUAUUUGUAAUCUUGGUAGCAGAUAGAAGAGGAAUCUUUGAGUAGUUCUAUGCUACCUUAGAUCACGUUUUGGGGCUGGCCUCAUGGCCAUGCCUAGACCAUGUUCUUAUGUAUUUUCAACGGUGGAGUUUCUACACACCAUAGAUUAAGGUGUGGAGCUCUGCUGUACCUCGAGUAUUAAUGCAAUUACUAUUGUUCUUCUAUUCAAUUCCGCUUGUUCUUAUUCCAAGAUAUCCAUUCGCACUCAAGAACCUGAAAUUGAGGGACUUGAGCAAAAAUCUGAUUCAGAGACUGAAAAGGACUGCAGAUGCUGUUGGAUUCUGACCUCCCUGCACUCGAAGUGGAUUUUCUGGAGCUACAGAAGCCCAAUUGGCGCGCUCUCAACGGCGUUGGAAAGUAGACAUCCUGGGCUUUCCAGCAAUAUAUGAUAGUCCAUACUUUGCCCAAGAUUUGAUGGCCCAAACCGGCGUUCAAAGUCACCUUCAGAUUUUCCAGCGUUAAACGCCGGAACUGGCACCAAAAUGGGAGUUAAACGCCCAAACUGGCACAAAAGCUGGCGUUUAACUCCAAGAAGAGUCUCUACACGAAAAUGCUUCAUUGCUCAGCCCAAGCACACACCAAGUGGGCCCGGAAGUGGAUUUUUAUGUCAUUUACUCAUCUCUGUAAACCUUAGGCUACUAGUUCUCUAUAAGUAGGACCUUUUACUAUUGUAUUGGGGGAUCUUGGUAGCUACUCUUGUUCUUAUGCCUAGACCUUGUUCUUAUGUAUUUUCAACGGUGGAGUUUCUACACACCAUAGAUUAAGGUGUGGAGCUCUGCUGUACCUCGAGUAUUAAUGCAAUUACUAUUGUUCUUCUAUUCAAUUCCGC